AGGUUAAGAAAUUUAGGAGUCU
rnacentral:miRNA from 1 species